UACGGAGGGUGCAAGCGUUAUCCGGAUUCACUGGGUUUAAAGGGUGCGUAGGAGGGUAGGUAAGUCAGUGGUGAAAUCUCCGGGCUCAACUCGGAAACUGCCGUUGAUACUAUCUGUCUUGAAUGCCGUGGAGGUGAGCGGAAUAUGUCAUGUAGCGGUGAAAUGCUUAGAUAUGACAUAGAACACCAAUCGCGAAGGCAGCUCACUACACGAACAUUGACUCUGAGGCACGAAAGCGUGGGGAUCAAACAGG
rnacentral:rRNA from 1 species